CGUGCCAGCAGCCGCGGUAAUACGUAGGAGGCGAGCGUUAUCCGGAUUUAUUGGGCGUAAAGGGCGUGCAGGUGGUUUGGAAAGUUGGGUAUGAAAUCUCCUGGCUUAACUAGGAGAGGCUGCUCAAAACUUCCAGGCUAGAGGACGGUAGAGGGAGGUGGAAUUCCCGGUGUAGUAGUGAAAUGCGUAGAUAUCGGGAGGAACACCAGUGGCGAAGGCGGCCUCCUGGGCCGUUCCUGACACUGAGACGCGAAAGCAUGGGUAGCAAACGGGAUUAGAAACCCCGGUAGUCCAUGCUGUAAACGAUGUGAACUUGAUGUUGGCAGCGUAAUAGCUGUCAGUGUCGUAGUUAACGCGAUAAGUUCACCGCCUGGGGACUACGACCGCAAGGUUAAAACUCAAAGGAAUUGACGGGAGCCCGCACAAGCAGCGGAGCGUGUGGUUUAAUUCGAUGAUACGCGAAGAACCUUACCUGGGCUUGACAUAUAGGUGGUAGGGAUCCGAAAGGUGACCGACUCUUCGGAGAGCCUAUACAGGUGCUGCAUGGCUGUCGUCAGCUCGUGCCGUGAGGUGUCCGGUUAAGUCCGGUAACGAGCGCAACCCUUGCCGUAUGUUACAUGUGUCAUGCGGGACUGCCGGUAUAAAACCGGGGGAAGGUGGGGAUGACGUCAAGUCAGCAUGGCCUUUAUGUCCAGGGCUACACACACGCUACAAUGGUCGGUACAAUGGGUAGCAAAGUCGCGAGGCGGAGCCAAUCCUCAAAGCCGAUCUCAGUUCGGAUUGCAGUCUGCAACUCGACUGCAGAAGCCGGAGU
rnacentral:rRNA from 1 species